rnacentral:rRNA from 1 species
UCAGGCCUAACACAUGCAAGUCGAACGCCCCGCAAGGGGAGUGGCAGACGGGUGAGUAACACGUGGGAACGUACCCUUCGGUUCGGAAUAACUCAGGGAAACUUGAGCUAAUACCGGAUACGUCCGAGAGGAGAAAGAUUUAUCGCCGAAGGAUCGGCCCGCGUCUGAUUAGCUUGUUGGUGAGGUAACGGCUCACCAAGGCGACGAUCAGUAGCUGGUCUGAGAGGAUGAUCAGCCACACUGGGACUGAGACACGGCCCAGACUCCUACGGGAGGCAGCAGUGGGGAAUAUUGGACAAUGGGGGCAACCCUGAUCCAGCCAUGCCGCGUGAGUGAUGAAGGCCUUAGGGUUGUAAAGCUCUUUUACCUGGGAAG